rnacentral:snRNA from 1 species
GAAUGUGAGGGUGGUCUGACUGAGACACCUGUUACACUGUUGAUCCCUGCCAAGAUUGAUCUGCUGAUCUGGAUCAUUAGGCAGGUGUACCCUUCCCUUCUCACCUCUGCAGGUGUGUUUGUCCUUCCUGGCAUUGCUCCAUCAAAAAGACAACCUUUUCUGGACAGAGGAGGACCUGUCUUCAUUCAAGGGUAUAGGAGUAGAGCCUUCAAACAAUCUCUCAUAAACAUACAUAUUUUACAGGGUAUCAAAUUAACAACUAU